rnacentral:lncRNA from 1 species
GGAAAUAUUACUAAUUCAUGGAUUUUUACCCGUAAACAUGCUCAAGUAUUGAAUUAGUAUUGCAAGAUCAUAUGAAAUGAACUGAAAUCUUUCUAUUUAAGAUGCCAACAAAAAUAAGACCAAUCCGAGAUUUUCAUCAAUGUAUGCGUUAUAGAAAAUUGUCAAGAAUUUAUUUCACUUGGAUAAAAGUGAAAAUCACAUAUAUCAAAAGGGAAGUCCCAAAUCGUUGAUCAAAUAACUUCGUCCACCUUUGACAAUUAGUCUCUUAUCGCGGCACGCAGAGACCUAAUUCUGAAAAAAGAGAGAAUCAAUACAUAAGCAAAUGAUGACUUUCAAGGCAAUUCCAAAGCAAAAUACUCCACACACAACUAAUCGACUAAAUGAAAGAAAAAAAAUUCUAUUGAGUGAAUAAUCGAUCCCAUUCCUACGAGCCACUUGAUUAUUGAGUGAAUAUCUAUUGUUCCACAUUGAUUUUCAUACAUUAUGUUGAUAAAAAGCAAAUUGUUUCAAGAAAUUCAGCAGAGAAAUAAAUGUAAGGAACCAUACAAAAAACAAGCCUGCUUGGAAGUUUUAGGGUACUGGUUUUGGGUGUAUGUGAGGGGUCCGAUUAGGGGUGAUUUUUAGUCGCGAUUUUUAAAACAAUCCAACCCAUGUUUGAAAGUUUAUUAUCCGGUGGUUUUUAGUACCCAUGCUAGAAACUUCACAAGUUCAACCUGAAAUUUACCUCCUAGUCCCAUGGUGUCCCAAUGCUAUAACGUUCUUGCCCUAUUUCUGGAUUUUAUGUAUUUUCUAUGUUCGAUUUAUCAAGAUUAUUGUGACCUUUUUGUUUCAUUUUUGUAUACUGGUAAUUGGUUUAGUAUAAUAAUAUCUUAAUUUAAUGAAAUUCAGCAUUGGGCAUGCAUAAUUUAGCAUUUGGCACUAAUUUUGAAUAUGGGUUGCUUUGGCAGGUUAAUUUGCUGAUAUCUGUGUUUGAUUUUAUGAGAAGUGAAUUUUCUGUAACUUGGAUCUGGCCUUGUGUAAUUUCAAUUUGGAAAUAACUGUUUUAGAGGAUAAAAUUGGAAGAAAAAUGGAGAAAGGGGGUUUAGAAGUACCACCCAAAUUACUCUACACUGAUCCCAAAAACUAGAAAGUACUGAUUUUUUCAACCUUUCAUAAACAAUGCAACUGAAAAAU